rnacentral:pre_miRNA from 1 species
AGAGGAGCUAGACAAGGAGUGGUCUCAGCAGAUUGAGGAGAGCACCACAGUGGUUACCAACGCAGUCUGCUGAGGUUGGAGUUGCUGAGAUGAC